ACAAAAGAACGGGGGAGCCGGUGGGACCGGCUGAGAGGGGGUUUUUAAACCCCGACCCCUUGAACCUGAUCCGGGUCAUGCCGGCGGAGGGAGUCAUAUCAAGAUAUUC
rnacentral:ncRNA from 2 species